rnacentral:rRNA from 1 species
GACGAACCGUGCGAACGUUGUUCGGAAUCACUGGGCUUAAAGGGCGCGUAGGCGGGCGAUCAAGUCUGUGGUGAAAUCCUUCGGCUCAACCGGAGAACUGCCGUGGAUACUGGUCGUCUGGAGGGAGGUAGGGGCAGCGGGAACUUCCGGUGGAGCGGUGAAAUGCGUAGAGAUCGGAAGGAACGCCGGUGGCGAAAGCGCGCUGCUGGACCUCUUCUGACGCUGAGGCGCGAAAGCUAGGGGAGCAAACGGG